rnacentral:lncRNA from 1 species
CUUGUCUUUGUAAUGCACCAGCCCGGUUGGAGAUGCUCUUUGUCCAUCUGAUUAGUACUUAGCGGCUUGGUGAACACUGAAUAUAACUAAAAUGAUGUCUAGCUUGUGAGAGAGUUACACAAAGUAAGCCCUGCCCGGAAUACAGGGUAUUUGCCCUGUUCCCAUGGGGAAUAAAAUGGUUCCUGUGAAAUUCUUGCUUUCCAAAGAGGCCCUUAGUUUGAAGAGAUUGGAUUUUGUGCAACCAGUUGCCGACACACCCCAUUAUUCAAUUUUUUUGGAGUUUUCAAAAAAAUGUAGAACAG